rnacentral:rRNA from 1 species
UACGUAGGGGGGCUAGCGUUGUCCGGAAUCAUUGGGCGUAAAGAGCGUGUAGGCUGCUCGGUAAGUCCGCUGUAAAAGUCAAAAGGCCUCGAACCUUUUGAAAUGGUACAGUGGGAUAACUGCCCGGGCUAGAGUCCGGAAAGAGGCGAGUGGAACUCCGUGGGUGUAGCGGUGGAAUGCGCAGAUAUCAGGAAGAACACCAACGGCGAAGGCAGCUCGCUGGGACGGUACUGACGCUGAGGUGCGAAAGCAUAGGGAGCAAACAGG